rnacentral:rRNA from 1 species
GAUGAACGCUGGCGGCGUGCUUAACACAUGCAAGUCGAACGAUGAAGCUCAGCUUGCUGGGUGGAUUAGUGGCGAACGGGUGAGUAACACGUGAGUAACCUGCCCUUAACUCUGGGAUAAGCCUGGGAAACUAGGUCUAAUACCGGAUAGGAGCGUCCACCGCAUGGUGGGUGUUGGAAAGAUUUAUCGGUUUUGGAUGGACUCGCGGCCUAUCAGCUUGUUGGUGAGGUAAUGGCUCACCAAGGCGACGACGGGUAGCCGGCCUGAGAGGGUGACCGGCCACACUGGGACUGAGACACGGCCCAGACUCCUACGGGCGGCAGCAGGGGGGAAUAUUGCACAAUGGGCGAAAGCCUGAUGCAGCGACGCCGCGUGCGGGAUGACGGCCUUCGGGUUGUAAACCUCUUUCAGUAGGGAAGAAGCGAAAGUGACGGUACCUGCAGAAGAAGCACCGGCUAACUACGUG